AAACAUCUACAUGUCUUACAUUAGUGUGUUUACUUUUACAGGUACAUCAAUUACUAUGCCUUCAUAUCCUACUAAAAAUAAGCUAAAUGAGGAGGCUUGCUUUGUGUAUUCUUAAUGAUGUCAUGUGGGAAGCCAAUCCACUUCAUGAAAAAAGAUCACUAGUUCGUUCUACUAGAGGUGGCUCAGAACCUGGGGAGUGGUGCCGCUAUGACAUCUAGCAAUGGUGAUUUUUAAUACCUAAUAAUUACACAGUUGAUACAGAAUACCUAAAUUUUAUUUCAUCAUUCAUCAUUAGUACAGAAGGACGUCCCGGAGUUACAAAAACUGUCAGUGGGACCUAUUAGUAGUUUUAACAAUAUAGUAAUUAAUACAUUAUGGCAACAUAGCAGUGAUACACAUCAGAAUACACGAAGUUAAUGAAGCGAGUAAUCAAAUACAAGGAAGGUGCUUACAAAUACAAGCAAAUGAAAUAGAUGCUGCGUAUGAAUAAAUAAAAAUGUAGUAAUUGGCACGUUAUGGAAACAUAGGGAUGACACAUAUCAAAGAACACAAGGUUAAUGUACGAGAUAAUCAGAAACAAAAAUGUGCUUACAAUAUGCAAAGUACAAGUGAAAUAUAUACUGUGCGACAAAAAACUUAAAAUUUCUAAAAGUAAGGAAGGAAAAAAUAAAGACAAUGGGAUAUAGAGAAUAAAAGCGAUACAUUUGGCAAAUACAGAAGCACUGAAAGUGGUAAAAUGAGUUUGUAUAUAAUAUGUGUUCGUGGUAAUGAGUCUGUAGCCAGUAGUGUCGAUAGUAAAUAUGUCUUCAUAUCUCUCUUGAAUGUUAAUGUUGUGCGGCAGGCUUUAAUAUGGGGUGGUUUAAUUUAGUGUUUAAUCGCCAUAAAAGAGCAGUAAACAUUGACAAUUAGUGUUUAUUUGAGGAAGGAAAGAAUUGUUAGAGGAAUAUCUCGUAUUGUUAGUGUUGGCAAGAGCAGAUAUAUUAAAUGCUGAACCCUUGAUGAUCACCAGUAGGUAUGCUACUGACGGUGCACUUGCACAAAACUCAAAAUAAUUUCAGAGCCCUGAAAACGAAACUUUUUUUUCCCUACUCGUCAGGUGUUUCACAAUCUGCACUGAUGGUAUUCUUCUCGAGUAUGGCUGGAGUACAUAUUUGUGCUGUGCGAAUGUUCAAAAUGUCAAAUGUAAAUCAAAUAGCUGUUGACCAUUUGACUUGUAUUUAAUUGGAGAACACGCAAUUAGAAGUUAUCAAAUCUUCCUUUCUGUCAAUAAUUACACAUACUGGAAUCUUUAGGGAGAAAGUCAGGUGCUUGUGGUGACCAUUCUCAAAGGGAACUGCAGUUCCUGAGCGGACAUAUACAGCAGCUGUCGUCUUCUCGGAAGCAGGCACUGAUGCUUGGAGACCUGCAGAGCACAAACUGCAGCAUGUAUGCCGAAAUAAACAGCUGUUGCCUAUUUCAAAUAAAACCAAUGUCAGGUGUGGCGAGCCCGGGAGACAGCAAGAGCCGCAGGAGUCCUGGACUAAGGGCGCCUCCCACACAAGCAGAAAUACACCUGCUUUUCCUUUCUUUUCUUUAAUACAAUAGUUUACUUGA